AGACCGGCUUCCCUAGAAGCCACCCUACACACAAGCAGAGAUAAUA
rfam:Xenopus tropicalis strain Nigerian Chr02_contig_2961, whole genome shotgun sequence.